rnacentral:lncRNA from 1 species
UCGCGAGAAGGCGGAAGCAGAGAAGAAAGCAGAUGAGCGGAGAGAGUGGCAAGAAUAUUGUGUGAAGCAGAGGGCUAGGAUUGAUGAGAUGUUGAAGCAAAGCCAAGAAGAGGAACUUCGACUGACGGAGGUUUAUAGACAGUAACAGGAGGCCCAUGAGCCUGAGAGGGAGAGAAAGAAAGAAAGGGCUCGUGCUGCCAAGGCAGCAGAAGAAGCUGGUGAUGGAAAAGGAAAAUAUUCACGUUGGACUCGGUAGAUUUAUUCUAUUGUUUCUUAAUUUCUGUCAGUUGUAUCUUAAUUUCAGCAAGUUGUAUCUUCAUUUCAGCAAUGUGUAUCUUAAUUUCAGCAAGAUGUAUCUUCAUUUUAACAUGUUAAUUUUAGCAAGUUGCCUCGCU